rnacentral:rRNA from 1 species
GAUAAACGCUGGCGGCGUGCAUAACACAUGCAAGUCGAACGAAGUGGCGAACGGGUGAGUAAAACGUGAGUAAACUGCCUUACACAAGGGGAUAGGCUUUGGAAACGAAGAAUAAUACCCUAUAGUGUAAGAUGGACGUGCGUCUGAUUAUCUAGUUGGUGAGAUAAAAGCCCACCAAGGCGACGAUCAGUAGACGGCUUGAGAGAGUGUACGGCAACAUUGGGACAGAGACACGGCCCAAACUCUACGGGAGGCAGCAGUGGGGAAUUUUGCACAAUGGGGGAAUCCCUGAUGCAGCGACGCCGCGUGAUUUAGAAGGCCUUCGGGUUGUAAAAAUCUUUUUUAUGGGAUGCAUUACCAUAAGAAUAAGGUCCGGCUAAAUACGUGCCAGCAGCCGCGGUAAUUC